ACUCCUACGGGAGGCAGCAGUAGGGAAUCUUCCACAAUGGGCGCAAGCCUGAUGGAGCAACACCGCGUGAGUGAAGAAGGGUUUCGGCUCGUAAAGCUCUGUUGUUAAAGAAGAACACGUAUGAGAGUAACUGUUUAUACGUUGACGGUAUUUAACCAGAAAGUCACGGCUAACUACGUGCCAGCAGCCGCGGUAAUACGUAGGUGGCAAGCGUUAUCCGGAUUUAUUGGGGCGUAAAGAGAGUGCAGGCGGUUUUCUAAGUCUGAUGUGAAAGCCUUCGGCUUAACCGGAGAAGUGCAUCGGAAACUGGAUAACUUGAGUGCAGAAGAGGGUAGUGGAACUCCAUGUGUAGCGGUGGAAUGCGUAGAUAUAUGGAAGAACACCAGUGGCGAAGGCGGCUACUUGGUCUGCAACUGACGCUGAGACUCGAAAGCAUGGGUAGCGAACAGGAUUAGAUACCCUGGUAGGAUAGCG
rnacentral:rRNA from 1 species